GGCCCCAGGUGUGCCAUAUAAUUUCCAGAACUUAAUGAUGAAAAUGUGAGAGACUACGAGGAAAUGUCCUUUAUAUAUCACCAUGAAGGCUUCUUCUGGAGGUGCUGGUUCUUUGGAGAUGAUCCACAAACUUCAGUUUGGAGAUACUGGUUUAUGAAUCAGCCUCAUCCCAAGCGCUGUAUUCCUGGGUAUCUCUUUCCUAUGCCAAUUGCUGUUGGACCUUUUCCACAUCCUUCCUUUGAUGCAACUACAGUGUACAGAAGCUUCUGGACAAUAUUUCUUAUAUUAGGUGUUGGUUCUGGUCUGGCUGGGGGAUUUCUGCUGGUGUGUGGUGUGCCCUUUGCCAGUGCUGGCUGUUAUAAAGUUGGAGGUGGCUUCUUGAUGAUAUCAGAUGAAGAAACUGAGGCAUAGAGAGUAUAUGUAAAUUGUCCAAAGUUAGACAUCUGGCAUAAGGUGGAGUCAAACUUCAAAACCAAACAGUUUGAUUCCAGAGCCUGCCCUGGAAACAAUACACUAUAGCCCUCUCAUGAAUACAGAGAGGUAGAGGUAUAAGAGGGGCCCUGUUUAGCCUGAUCCUCAGCCUGUUUGUACUAUGGAAGGAAUAUGCUGUUGAUUUCCCAAAAUACAUAUCUACAGAAAGGAGCAACAGCUGUGUCCCAGAGAAUGUCUUCAUUGAUGUGCAGUAUGGAUGGUCAUUCAUGUUUGCUGCUUUUGGUACUCCCUUUGUAUGCAUGUCAGGAAUUAUGUUUCAUUUCAUUGGCCAGGAGCUUGAUGAUUUUCAUAAGUGAACAAAAUAAAAUGCCAAAAGAACACAGUGAAAUUCUCUGGGCAUAUUCCUGAUGGACACUUAAAUAAAGGUGAAGCAAAUUUCAGGUUUUGAUCUUUGCCAAGUGCUCAGAGCAUUACUUAUCAUCUGUAAAUAUUGAUUACAUGUUAGUGUCAAAUGAAUGAAAUUUGAAGAGUGGUGCUAUAAAAGUAAAAGAAGAGUUAAAACGAGUAAUUUCAAAGAAGACUAGAAUGAGUUAAUUUGGUCUCAGUUUACAGAGACAAAAAGACUAGCUCUAGUUUCCUUCAUGAAUCUAUCAAUAGUCAGCAAGAGAGUAACCUCAAGCUCUGGUGCCAUGUUUUCAUUUUCAAUCUUUCCAAAGCUGACCUAAUUUAAAGUAAGGUGUUUCUUUUUUACGAGUAGUCUAGUCCAAUUUUUUUUUUUUGAAAUAACCAAUUAACCAUAACUAAUAUACUAGACCAGGAACUGUUAUUUCUCAAUUUAAAGCUCAGGAAUCUGCCAGAAGGCAUACAGAUCAUUGUUUGCCUAAUUUCCUUCAGCUGACAGACUUGGAAUAGUGGGCAUUGAGUUUUACAUGCAUAUUUUAAUGGGCUGAACAGGAAACAGUGACAUCUGAAAGGCAAAGUAUUUUAUAUUUUCAUAUACAAGAUUUGUAUCCUUCCAACACAGAGAGAUCUGUACUUGAGCAAGAGAUUUAUAAAACAUUAAAAUCUUAGAAUGCUCCAUUUGAAUAAAUCCAAUUAAAGAUCAUAGUUUCAAAAUGAAAAAAAGUCCUGUCCUAGCAAGAGGAUGAGAUGCAUCCAGAGAAAGUUAGUUCUGGCCUGGAGGAUAGGAAGGUAUGCAUCUAUUUCUGUGAAGAAUUUUGUUCAUCUUUGCUAAAAAGUCAACCGUAUUAAAUUCUAGUAAUGAGGAAGAAUAGUUAACACAUUCAUUAAUUGGAUCCUGUUUUCACCUGUAUUGUUACUAAAUACUUCACAAUUUAAACCACACCCACCCAUUCAUUAACCAUUGCUGUUUUUCAUUUUAAAAACAUCUCACUGGAUUUAAUGAAAGUCUGAGGAUAAUUUAAGGGGACAUCCAUGGGGGCAAAAUUCUUCUAGAUUAAUUAUUAAUUUGUACCAAAAUCUAAAAUAAAAAUAUGGACUCAUAGUGAAUUCAUUAAUAAGAUAAAAACUGGCCUAUAGGUCUU